GAGUUUGAUCCUGGCUCAGAUUGAACGCUGGCGGCAUGCUUUACACAUGCAAGUCGAACGGGGUGAGGGGGCAACUCUUCAUUCAGUGGCGAACGGGUGAGUAAUGCAUCGGAACGUGUCCCGUAGUGGGGGAUAACGCCGCGAAAGCGGCGCUAAUACCGCAUACGCUCUACGGAGGAAAGCAGGGGACCUGAGAGGGCCUUGUGCUAGGGGGGCGGCCGAUGUCCGAUUAGCUAGUUGGUGGGGUAAUGGCCUACCAAGGCGACGAUCGGUAGCUGGUCUGAGAGGAUGAUCAGCCACACUGGGACUGAGACACGGCCCAGACUCCUACGGGAGGCAGCAGUGGGGAAUUUUGGACAAUGGGGGCAACCCUGAUCCAGCCAUGCCGCGUGCGGGAAGAAGGCCUUCGGGUUGUAAACCGCUUUUAGCCGGGAAGAAAAGGCGCGGGCGAAUACCUCGUGUUUUUGACGGUACCGGCGGAAUAAGCACCGGCUAACUACGUGCCAGCAGCCGCGGUAAUACGUAGGGUGCGAGCGUUAAUCGGAAUUACUGGGCGUAAAGCGUGCGCAGGCGGUUCGUUGUGUCGGCGGUGAAAGCCCCGGGCUUAACCUGGGAACGGCCGUUGAAACU
rnacentral:rRNA from 1 species